rnacentral:rRNA from 1 species
ACGCUCGACACCUACGGGAGGCGGCAGUGGGGAAUAUUGCACAAUGGGGGAAACCCGUGAUGCAGCGACGCCGCGUGAGCGAAGAAGUAUUUCGGUAUGUAAAGCUCUAUCAGCAGGGAAGAAACUGACGGUACCUGACUAAGAAGCACCGGCUAAAUACGUGCAAGCAGCCGCGGUAAUCUGAGCGGGCUGGCAAGGC